rnacentral:rRNA from 1 species
AUUGAACGCUGGCGGCAUGCCUUACACAUGCAAGUCGAACGGCAGCGGGGGAGAAGCUUGCUUUUCCUGCCGGCGAGUGGCGAACGGGUGAGUAAUACAUCGGAACGUGCCCUGUAGUGGGGGAUAACUAGUCGAAAGACUAGCUAAUACCGCAUACGACCUGAGGGUGAAAGUGGGGGACCGCAAGGCCUCAUGCUAUAGGAGCGGCCGAUGUCUGAUUAGCUAGUUGGUGGGGUAAGGGCCUACCAAGGCGACGAUCAGUAGCUGGUCUGAGAGGACGAUCAGCCACACUGGGAGUGAGACACGGCCCAGACUCCUACGGGAGGCAGCAGUGGGGAAUUUUGGACAAUGGGCGAAGGCCUGAUCCAGCAAUGCCGCGUGUGUGAAGAAGGCCUUCGGGUUGUAAAGCACUUUUGUCCGGAAAGAAAUGGCUCUGGUUAAUACCUGGGGUCGAUGACGGUACCGGAAGAAUAAGGACCGGCUAACUACGUGCCAGCCGCCGCAGUAA